rnacentral:misc_RNA from 1 species
GUGAAUCAUCGAAUUUUUGAACGCAAAUUGCGCCUUUUUCGGAAGGCAUGUCUGUUUGAGGGCACCAUUUAACAAGUAAUGUGCAGCGUUUUUUGUUGCACACGUUGAUGAGCUUUCCAAGAAUUUUAAAUUUUUGGUGGCGCAUAAUGAACAGCGUGAAAGUUUUUUUUCAUUUGGAGUGUAUUAAAAUUUUUGUUUGGUUUUUGAAAAACC